UACGUAGGAUGCAAGCGUUGUCCGGAAUUAUUGGGCGUAAAGAGCGCGUAGGCGGUCACUCAAGUCAGAUGUGAAAUCUCCGGGCUUAACCCGGAGGGGUCAUUUGAAACUGAGUAACUAGAGUACAGCAGAGGAUAGCGGAAUUCCCGGUGUAGUGGUGAAAUGCGUAGAUAUCGGGAGGAACACCAGUGGCGAAGGCGGCUAUCUGGGCUGAAACUGACGCUGAGGCGCGAAGGCUAGGGGAGCAAACAGG
rnacentral:rRNA from 1 species